rnacentral:rRNA from 1 species
UACGUAGGGUGCGAGCGUUGUCCGGAAUUAUUGGGCGUAAGGAGCUCGUAGGCGGUCUGUCGCGUCUGCUGUGAAAACCCGAGGCUCAACCUCGGGCCUGCAGUGGGUACGGGCAGACUAGAGUGCGGUAGGGGAGAAUGGAAUUCCUGGUGUAGCGGUGGAAUGCGCAGAUAUCAGGAGGAACACCGAUGGCGAAGGCAGUUCUCUGGGCCGUAACUGACGCUGAGGAGCGAAAGCGUGGGGAGCGAACAGG